GAGAAAACAGACAGAACCAGGGAUUACAGGCAUCAGACACCGUGCCCAGCCCUGAAAAAUUGUUUUGAUCUCAUAGAAAUUAUACUCUCCUGUGAGAGACAGACAACAAACAAGAGAGAUUAGUAUAUAAUAUAUUGACAGAAAUAAGUACUAAAAAGAAAAUUAAAGAGAGAAAGGGAGAUAAGAAACAUCAAGAGUAGCAGAAAAUUGAAGUUGUAGACAGGUGGACCAGGGAAGGUUUCACUGAAUAUUUUGACAAACACCCAAAGGAAGUGAGAGAGUUCACCACGUGGAUAUCUGGCGGAAAAACAUUCUAGGCAAAGGGCACAGCCAUGCAAAGCUCAGAGGCAUGAGGAUGUCAGGAUGCUAAGGAGUGGCUGGGGGCCAGUGUUGGGGAGUAGAGAUGAGGUCAGAUGAUAACAGCAGGCCAGAUCAUGCUGUGUUGCAGGUCGUGGUUAAGACACUGGCUUUUUUUCCUGAAAGAGAAUAAGAAAUUCAAGGGUCACAGUGAUAAUUUCCCGUAUGAGGUGAUGGGGGCCUGAACUGGAGUGACAAGAAUGGAACAAAAAGGAAAGGCAGAGGCACAAGAGUGACUGAGAGCACACAGCCCUCUUCCCAGCCCCACACCAGCCUCCACUAAGGUAGAAGUGAACAACCCAACCCAAUGUGACUACUUCAAAAUGUUGUUGUUAUGGAUCAGAGACGAGUAUGAGUCCUAGGAAAACUGCAAAGCAUUGUGUGAGCAUUUCUCAAAUACUUUUCCACUGACUCCUAAGAUCCUACAAAAUGGCAAUGGGUGUUCUGUGGGGAAAUUAUGGGUUCCACAAUCCUCCCAUCCACUCAAAAAAAAAGUAGGAAAUCCUGCAUACCUUAUAUGCUUCGUUGAGCUUCACAGGACCUAUUUGCAUAUUAAAGUCAUUCAGUGUUUUCAAAAUUUAUGGUCAUGAGCUCCUUUUAAUGUA
rnacentral:lncRNA from 1 species